UGUCCUCACUGUGCCAUGCUCUAGUUACUAGAGCGUGGCACAGUGAGGACA
rnacentral:miRNA from 1 species